rnacentral:sRNA from 1 species
UUUAUGAUUAUUAAAGGUCCAUAUUUAAUAGUUAUUAAACUAAUGCCUUUAUGUAUUGACUAUUAAAAUAUAGAAGCGUUAACUUCUACUGCUUGGUUGGUAGACUUUAAAGAGGUCGCAUAAUCUCAUAUUUCGGCUGAAAUUUGUGUAACAUUUUUUUGAGAAAUUACUGACUGCCUUUCUACUGACUCACUUGAAAAAUAAUAAAAAAUUGUUUUAGUAAGCCUUAAAUGUAUCACAUGUUUCCAAAAGUUCAUCGGCUAAACGGAUGAGCUGGCUGACUCAAUAUAGAUUGUUUACUCUAGCAACGAGAUGCAAUGUUUAAACUCAUCAUACACGUUCCUAAACUACCACAUUAAAAAAAGUUAAAUUUAUCAACAUUCUUUGUCAACUGCAAUUCCUCCAAAUAAAUGAAGUGAUACAAAUGAAUAACACAAAGGACUGUGCCUAUAAUUAAGUUCGUCUCUGUACGUCUGUGUGUAAAUACAUAUAUCAUCAUAUCAUAUAUAUCUUAUCGGUUAACCCGUCAAAUGAUUGAUAAAGUAUACCUCUAUAAAUGAAGUUACAUUCCAAAAGAAGCCAGAUUCACCUGUUCAUAACAACCGGUGCAAGCACACCUGCGCAGCUGUGCGUGGCGGCUCUCCACAUAAGGUUCUUCAAGAAGCUCUGGACUAGUGCGGUUCGGAACUGUGCAGAAACUAGAACUAUGCCAUCAAACCCAGUGAAACGAAGCAGCAGCGGCGGUGGCAGAAGGAAGGCAGCGGACAGCAGCUUCCCAGCGCCAGCAGAGACGUUGACGUGACGGUGGCUGUGCCGUCGCCGACUCCCGCUGCCCGCUGCCAGGAGACGGAAACCUGUGGCAUUGCUGCUGGCUCCACUUGGUUGCAACUCCAGCUUUCCAGCCACCUACUUGCAUAAUCGAAAGCGGAUGAGGUGCAGCGAUUUGGGCGAAAAUUUAAGGUUCGAUCAAAGGCCGUCAAAGGGGGUGGGGUGAACGGUAAAUUUUGUUGGUAUACUCAUGAAAACGAAACGAAAGCUGCCUGGUCGGUUCCCGGUAUGUACAGUGGGGCUCUAAAGUGUUGGGACAGCUGUUCUAAAUUGUGCUUAUCUAUUGGCACUCCCAAAGCCCUAUAUUUUAAGUUCCGAAUUCUCAUCCUAAUCAAUAAUAAAAAUAUCAGCCAAAUCUUUAGAUCCUCCUAAAGAACUGGGCCAAUCAUUUAUUUUACUAAUAAAUACGAAUUUAUAACCCGUGCCAAACUGUUUUCCGCCACUGUAUGCUGUAUGCAUGUAUACGUGUGUGAGCAGCGCACAUCGCAGUCGCAGUGGACGAAAAUAAACGCUGGCGCAAGCAGAAUGGCUGCGGAGCGAGCGAGACAACUACUGCGACGCGACGGCAAAGUACAGCAACUUCAAAAAUAUCGACUGAGCACAGUCUUCACACCGACAGAGCGGUCAGGGCCGGAGUUCCAGCGCCCAAAAGGGGCGCUUAUUUUCGAGCGGAUCGUUACAGAUCGAAAUUAAUGCAGGUAUAAUUAUUAGUGAACAGCAUUCUAAAUGCAACCACAUAAAUGCACUAAAUAAAAUUCGCAUAAAAUGUAAUUUAUGAGCGGGGCACCCCGUGCACACCCUCACACGACUA